rnacentral:snRNA from 1 species
GUGCUCACUUCAGCAGCACAUACACUAAAAUUGGAAGGACAAAGAGAAGAUUAACAUGGCCCCUGUGCAAGCAUGACACGCAAAUUCUCAAAGUGUUCCAUAUUUUU